UCAAUUCUCCUAGCAACGUUUACCCACGGCACUGUCAUACUGAAGAACAGCCACAAGAUAGAGCUGUAAGAUAUCGCACUAUAUACAAGAAAUGUUACAGACACAAUGGCAUUUAAAGGUGCUAUCAUUUCUCACAUUAAAUAAACAGAAAGAAUUUAGGUAAAUAUUCCUGUGCAGGAUUCACUCCUUUAAAU